AUACUUACCUGGCAGGGGUGAUACCAUGAUCAUGAAGGUGGUUUUCAGGGCAAGCCUUAUCGAUUACACUCCAGAUGUGCUUAUCUCUGUGAUUUCCCCAAAUAUCAGAAACUCAACUGUCUAAUUUGUGGUAGUGAGGGACUGAAUUCAUGCUGUUUCCUUU
rnacentral:snRNA from 1 species